UCUCAAAAAUAACGUCUCAGUUCGGAUUGUAGUCUGCAACUCGACUACAUGAAGCUGGAAUCGCUAGUAAUCGCGAAUCAGAAUGUCGCGGUGAAUACGUUCCCGGGUCUUGUACACACCGCCCGUCACACCAUGGGAGUCAGUAACGCCCGAAGUCAGUGACCCAACCAUAUAGGGAGGGAGCUGCCGAAGGCGGGACCGAUAACUGGGGUGAAGUCGUAACAAGGUAAC
rnacentral:rRNA from 1 species